CUUUGCAGUACUUCAAAGAAUCAUUUCUAUAGUUUUGUCGUCCUCUUCUGAGCUUCUCAAAAAAGCCACAGAAUCUCCAACCUGGUUGAUGAGUUUCAGCCUCAAUGUCCCGGAGUGAGGCCUUCUUACGCUUGCUUCGGCGAGCGUGGCGAUGAUCUUCAGCCAACUGGUCUCGUACUUCGGUCGAGCUGGACGGCAGGACGUUGAUGGCAAUCUGACAGGC
rnacentral:snoRNA from 1 species